rnacentral:rRNA from 1 species
GCCCAGCUUGCUGGGUGGAUUAGUGGCGAACGGGUGAGUAACACGUGAGUAACCUGCCCCCGACUUUGGGAUAAGCCCGGGAAACUGGGUCUAAUACCGGAUAUGACUUCCUGCCGCAUGGUGGGUUGUUGAAAGAUUUAUCGGUGGGGGAUGGACUCGCGGCCUAUCAGCUUGUUGGUGAGGUAAUGGCUCACCAAGGCGACGACGGGUAGCCGGCCUGAGAGGGUGACCGGCCACACUGGGACUGAGACACGGCCCAGACUCCUACGGGAGGCAGCAGUGGGGAAUAUUGCACAAUGGGCGGAAGCCUGAUGCAGCGACGCCGCGUGAGGGAUGACGGCCUUCGGGUUGUAAACCUCUUUCAGUAGGGAAGAAGCGAAAGUGACGGUACCUGCAGAAGAAGCGCCGGCUAACUACGUGCCAGCAGCCGCGGUAAUACGUAGGGCGCAAGCGUUAUCCGGAUUUAUUGGGCGUAAAGAGCUCGUAGGCGGUUUGUCGCGUCUGCCGUGAAAGUCCGAGGCUCAACCUCGGAUCUGCGGUGGGUACGGGCAGACUAGAGUGAUGUAGGGGAGACUGGAAUUCCUGGUGUAGCGGUGAAAUGCGCAGAUAUCAGGAGGAACACCGAUGGCGAAGGCAGGUCUCUGGGCAUUUACUGACGCUGAGGAGCGAAAGCAUGGGGAGCGAACAGGAUUAGAUACCCUGGUAGUCCAUGCCGUAAACGUUGGGCACUAGGUGUGGGGGACAUUCCACGUUUUCCGCGCCGUAGCUAACGCAUUAAGUGCCCCGCCUGGGGAGUACGGCCGCAAGGCUAAAACUCAA